rnacentral:rRNA from 1 species
UACGAAGGGGGCUAGCGUUGCUCGGAAUCACUGGGCGUAAAGCGCGCGCAGGCGGUCUUCCAAGUCAGUGGUGAAAGCCCGGAGCUCAACUCCGGAACUGCCAUUGAAACUGUAAGACUUGAGGAUGAGAGAGGUGAGUGGAAUUCCCAGUGUAGAGGUGAAAUUCGUAGAUAUUGGGAAGAACACCGGUGGCGAAGGCGGCUCACUGGCUCAUAUCUGACGCUCAGGCGCGACAGCGUGGGGAUCAAACAGG